AACCUCGGGAAACCGGGGCUAAUACCGCAUAACAUCCUCAGGGUGCAAUUCCCAGGGGACCAAAGGGGUAAGACGCUUGAAGAGGGGGUCGCGGCUGAUUAGCUAGUUGGUGAGGUAAUGGCUCACCAAGGCGAAGAUCGGUAGCCGGCCUGAGAGGGCGCACGGCCACACUGGAACUGAAACACGGUCCAGACUCCUACGGGAGGCAGCAGUGGGGAAUUUUGCGCAAUGGGGGAAACCCUGACGCAGCAACGCCGCGUGGAGGAUGAAGCCCCUUGGGGCGUAAACUUUCUUUCGAUCGGGACGAUUAUGACGGUACGGGGGUGAAGAAGCACCGGCUAACUCUGUGCCAGCAGCCGCGGGAAUACAGAGGGUGCGGAGCGGUUGUUCGGAAUUUAUUGGGCGUAAAGGGCGCGUAGGGCGGUGCGGUAAGUCACCUUGUGAAACCUCUGGGCUUAACUCAGAGCCUGC
rnacentral:rRNA from 1 species